rnacentral:ribozyme from 1 species
AUGAAGGGAAAGAAACAGGCAAAGAAAAAACAAACAAGGAAAGACAGAAAAACAAUUC